GCAGUAGAACGCUGAGACUUUAGCUUGCUAAAGUUGGAAGAGUUGCGAACGGGUGAGUAACGCGUAGGUAACCUGCCUACUAGCGGGGGAUAACUAUUGGAAACGAUAGCUAAUACCGCAUAACAGCAUUUAACUCAUGUUAGAUGCUUGAAAGGAGCAAUUGCUUCACUAGUAGAUGGACCUGCGUUGUAUUAGCUAGUUGGUGAGGUAAUGGCUCACCAAGGCGACGAUACAUAGCCGACCUGAGAGGGUGAUCGGCCACACUGGGACUGAGACACGGCCCAGACUCCUACGGGAGGCAGCAGUAGGGAAUCUUCGGCAAUGGGGGCAACCCUGACCGAGCAACGCCGCGUGAGUGAAGAAGGUUUUCGGAUCGUAAAGCUCUGUUGUAAGAGAAGAACGUGUGUGAGAGUGGAAA
rnacentral:rRNA from 1 species